rnacentral:rRNA from 1 species
CAGUCGCCACGGUAAUACGAAGGGUGCAAGCGUUAAUCGGAAUUACUGGGCGUAAAGCGUGCGCAGGCGGUUUGUUAAGACAGAUGUGAAAUCCCCGGGCUCAACCUGGGAACUGCAUUUGUGACUGGCAAGCUAGAGUGUGGCAGAGGGGGGUGGAAUUCCGCGUGUAGCAGUGAAAUGCGUAGAUAUGCGGAGGAACACCGAUGGCGAAGGCAGCCCCCUGGGCCAACACUGACGCUCAUGCACGAAAGCGUGGGGAGCAAACAGGAUUAGAUACCCGCGUAGUCCCUGUCUCUUAUAC